ensembl:lncRNA
GUGGCACUGGUUGUAAGGCAGAACACAGGAUCCGCAUCGCGAAAAACAUAUUCUUGGUCGUACUGAUGGUGAGUUGACGCUGAUCUUAUAUUCAGUAGUUCUUCUCGGCUGUAUGUAAUGAAACCUAAGAUGACCUGGGGUACUAGUGUAAGAAAUAACACGUAAAAAAACAAAAAACUGCAUAGUUUCCUAGGAACGCGAAGCGAGGCGGCCAUCUCUGUCGGCGCCGGAAGUCAAAAGGCAGGCUAAAUGAGAGGAACUAAGCCCAGCCAAUCAAACACAAUAGAUGGGAUGGAGGAGAGAAAAAGAGAGAGAGAGAGGGCAGAGGGGGGUGGGGAGAGAGGGAGAGAGAGGUGGUGGGGAGAGAGGGAGAGAGCACGGGUUGGGAGAGAAAAAGAGGGGAGCGAGAGGGGAUGGGGAGAGGGGGUGGAGAGAGAGAGACAGAGAGAGAGAUAGGGGAGGGGGGUAGUACUGAGCGAUUAGUGCUUUGAGGUAGUUAGUUUUCGUUUUUUUUUUUUUUUUUUUUUCUCAUGGUUUUCAAUUUUCGGUUUUGAUUAUUUGGGUUGAACGCUGUUACAACACAGAAUAAAACAAUAAAUAAAAGUCCCAUGAUGGUAGUGACUGCCUGUUACUGCUUAUCACUUAUUAACCAUCAUUCUUUCACAUGACUGUAGUUUAAUAAAAUAUUUACGUUGGUGUGUAUAUUGCAUUUGUUUUAUCGGAUAACUAUUAUUUCAUUCCAAGUCUUCAUCUAAUCUCUGCUGACUAUGCUGUCUGACAAAAUCACUAUUUUGUAGUUCCUCAAAGUAAAUAAGGCAUACUUUUAUGACUGCUGAAUAACUACUAUCAAUCACAUAUUUUCAGGUAGAGAUAGCUCCCAAAGCAAAGGCUGCUCUCUAUAUUCCCUCAUGAUCUCUUUUUUUUCUCUCCGUACGGGGACGAAGGUCGAAAGCCAUGCGUCCUCCAAAACACAACCCAACCAAGCCGCACUGGUUCUUAACACAGUGCAACCAACCCGGAAGCCAGCCACACCAAUGUGUCGGAGGAAACAUGUUGCACCAGGC